rnacentral:rRNA from 1 species
GUAGGUGGCAAGCGUUGUCCGGAAUUAUUGGGCGUAAAGCGCGCGCAGGCGGUUCUUUAAGUCUGAUGUGAAAGCCCACGGCUCAACCGUGGAGGGUCAUUGGAAACUGGAGAACUUGAGUACAGAAGAGGAAAGCGGAAUUCCACGUGUAGCGGUGAAAUGCGUAGAGAUGUGGAGGAACACCAGUGGCGAAGGCGGCUUUCUGGUCUGUAACUGACGCUGAGGCGCGAAAGCGUGGGGAGCAAACAGGAUUAGAUACCCUGGUAGUCCACGCCGUAAACGAUGAGUGCUAAGUGUUAGGGGGUUUUCCGCCCCCCUUAGUGCUGCAGCUAACGCAUUAAGCACUCCGCUGGGAGUACGGCCGCAAGGCUG